rnacentral:rRNA from 1 species
AUUGAACGCUGGCGGAAUGCUUUACACAUGCAAGUCGAACGGCAGCACGGGAGCUUGCUCCUGGUGGCGAGUGGCGAACGGGUGAGUAACAUAUCGGAACGUACCCAGUCGUGGAGGAUAACUAUCCGAAAGGAUAGCUAAUACCGCAUACGUCCUGAGGGAGAAAGCGGGGGAUCGCAAGACCUCGCGCGAUUGGAGCGGCCGAUAUCGGAUUAGCUAGUUGGUGGGGUAAAGGCUCACCAAGGCGACGAUCCGUAGCGGGUCUGAGAGGACGACCCGCCACACUGGAACUGAGACACGGUCCAGACUCCUACGGGAGGCAGCAGUGGGGAAUUUUGGACAAUGGGGGCAACCCUGAUCCAGCCAUUCCGCGUGAGUGAAGAAGGCCUUCGGGUUGUAAAGCUCUUUCAGCAGGAACGAAACGGUCGGCUUUAAUAAAAUCGGCUAAUGACGGUACCUGCAGAAGAAGCACCGGCUAACUACGUG